GCUAUUGACUAGGCGCAAAGCUAGCCAACUAUGAGGAAGGGACAGACAUGUACUCCCUUGGCAUAAGUGACAGGAUCUGUUAUUCUGGCAGGAAGUGAUACCAUGGGGUGGGUAGGCUUAGGGACAGGAAAGAACAGCCUCCAAUUCUUGCUGGAAUGGCAGAAUUGCAGCAUGUCUUUGGAGAUCACCUAGUCCUGAAACAGUUUUAUUCGCUCUUGGAUUCACUCACUCUCUCAACCAACAUCCAUGGAGCGUCUGCGCUGGGCAGGAGACCUGCUAGGGGCUGAGCUGUGGUGAUUUUGGGGAGAAUGAGUGACCGUUCACCGUACAAUGCCCCGCGCCGUGGGAAGGCCAUAACCCCUACCCUGUGGACUCAGCCAUGCCUUGGUGACUGGCUUCGGCCAAUGGAGGCUGCGGUAACACGGUACCACAGACUGGGCAGCUUCAGCAACAGAAACAGACAGGCUCACCGUUCUGGAGUCCCACAUCAAGAUCUGAGGGCUGUGAGGAGAAUCUGUUCCGUGCCUCUCCUGUAGUUUCUGGGCCCUGCGACUUCUUGAGGAUUGUUCCAGGAAACACACUUAAGACACCUGGGCUCAAGGACAGUGACCUGUCCAGACGUGAACACGAUCCAGGUGGGCCAAUGACUCAGUGCCCCCAUCCCAGCCCCAUCACACCAGGAAGACGAGACAGAUGGACCACUGGGCCCAGCGUAAUCAGGGCUUGGAAUGGGGGCCUGAUUACCUGUCCAUGGAACAUUGAUUUAUAGCUCACAACCCUCUGAUGGUGAGAUGGUUAUAUUAAGGGUCAAUUUGAUUGGAUUGAAGGAUGUAAAGUAUUGUCUCUGGAUGUGUCUGUGAGCGUGUU